AGAGUUUGAUCCUGGCUCAGAACAAACGCUGGCGGCGUGCCUAAUACAUGCAAGUCGAACGAGGAAGUAUCUUCGGAUAUUGUACUAGUGGCGUACGGGUGAGUAACGCGUGGAUAAUCUUCCUCUAGGUGGGGAAUACCAGUCGAAAGAUUGGCUAAUACCGCAUAAGACCACAAAUUCUUCGGAAUAAGGGGUUAAAGGCGAAAGUCGCCUGGAGAUGAGUCUGCGCCCGAUUAGCUAGUUGGUGAGGUAACAGCUCACCAAGGCGACGAUCGGUAGCUGGUCUGAGAGGACGGCCAGCCACACUGGGACUGAGACACGGCCCAGACUCCUACGGGAGGCAGCAGUAGGGAAUAUUGCACAAUGGAGGAAACUCUGAUGCAGCGACGCCGCGUGAGUGACGAAGGCCUUCGGGUUGUAAAGCUCUGUUCUCAGGGAAAAAGCAAGUGAUUGUACCUGAGGAGAAAGGACCGGCUAACUUCGUGCCAGCAGCCGCGGUAAGACGAGGGGUCCAAGCGUUGUUCGGAAUCAUUGGGCGUAAAGCGGGUGUAGGUGGCUCUAUAAGUCAGAAGUGAAAGCCCCGAGCUUAACUUGGGAAGUGCUUUUGAUACUGCAGAGCUUGAAUGUGGGAGAGGAUCGUGGAAUUCCAGGUGUAGUGGUGAAAUACGUAGAUAUCUGGAGGAACACCGGUGGCGAAGGCGGCGAUCUGGCCCAACAUUGACACUGAGACCCGAAAGCGUGGGGAUCAAACAGGAUUAGAUACCCUAGUAGUCC
rnacentral:rRNA from 1 species